GCUUUGGAAGUAACGGUUACUGGAGAUAACUUUUCCUAGGGAUCAUUAUGGCUUGAAGAACCAAAAUGACUCAAAACAGUGCAAGGAAGAUCCAUCCUUUCCUUCUGGACCAUAUCCACUUUCAGAUAGCUUCUGAUUACAUUUAUGUUCCAUAAUGGCCUCAUGGGUGCUGAUCUUUAAAGGUCUGUACUAAAACUUCCAGCUUUCUCUGUUAUGGUGAGGACAUGAGAAGCAAGCUUAUGCAGGUCACUCACCAUCUCAAGGAAAUCAGAUUGGUUUGACACACUUGUUCUCAUCAAAUCCCUGGAGGUGUCAAGAGCUGAAGAACAUAAUCUGUAAAAGUCAAAUGGCCAAGUUUUUGUUCUCCCAAUCUAAAUCAGUUACUAGCUACUAAGAUCAGUAGCAAACUAAUGUGUGUGAGAUUAUCAUACAUCGGCUGCUGUGGUUUUCCUUCCUGUGAAGCACUUGGCUAUUAUCAGAUGCAAGUUCUUGAACAUCGAGUUUGGGUUACGGAACAGUUUGUCUUGUGUCUCUAAAUAGUCAAAAAACAACAACAACAACAACAACAAAAUGAAGAAAAAAAUAAAAUAAUCUUUUUAAUCACUAUCUUCAGGCUGAUCUGCUUUUGGAAGCACGGAUUGCCGCCUGCAUGCGCUGUAGUUGACAACGGAUGCAAGCAGUUUGCCCAUACAAGGGCAGCCCCUGUUUUACAGCUACAUUCUUGGUGUUUACACCCACUUUUAAAAUUAACUUUGGGGCCCUUAGGAAGAGCAGGGGUAUCCUCAAAGCCGAACCACCUUCCAACUCUCCUUGCUUGAUGCCACCUAGUGGCUACUGGCAGACGGGAGCUCUUAGAAGAGCCCAAGAUUUGGGGAACACCCCAUUUUUAGGAAAGUGGCAUUGCAAGUAGUAGUUAUUCCUGGAGUUGCAAAGAUAAAAUCAGAUGAGGUUGCUCUCAAUUAUCUGCUGGCAUUAAUCAAGUCACUGAAUCCAUGGCGGAGCCCAGCACAGGCAUGGCUCUUCAGGGUUGGCCCAGCUGUCAUCUCAAAAAGCCCAGCAGGAAACAACCUGUAAAAGUGAAUUAUUUGUGUGUGUGUGUGUGUGUGUGUGUGUGUCACAGAAGCCACAGAAAAAGAACUUCCUUAAAAACUUAUGCACCAUCCACAGCAUGGAUGUGGGGCAAAUACUCAUCAGCUUUAUCAAACCUGGCCACCCGCACUUCAUGCGGGUCUAUUCCAGUUUCUUCCAAACACUUUUGCAGUAGGUCUGAGUGACUUAACAAGGGGAGCCAAACACUUUUUCCCAGCCAACUGUAUCCCAACUGAUUGCACUGAUUUGCAUCAAAUCCUAAUUAAGGCUUAGAUUUUGGGUGCAAUUGUAGAUAAUAACCAAAUAAAGCAUAUUUCAUUUGGUUAAAAUUUACAACUGAGCAAGUCACCCAGUGAAACCUUUCCUCUUUUAUUCACAAAUUAGUUGAGGCAGACUUUAAUUCUUACUGAGUCUAGCGAAUGAUUUGAGACAAUGGCUUACAGCCUGCCUGGAAUAUCCAUGUCAAUAGAUAUUUGCCUGAAAGCUCAAGAUUAUUUCUGGCUUGUUUUCCAUCAAAACUCACUUAUGGUUUCAAAUGUUUGUUUGUUUGGCUUAGUGAGCACUAGAGCUGUGUCUUUUAUUUUUAGUGUUUUUGCCUCAGUAUUUGAGAAAAUACUAAUAUUUACUCAUCAAAAAAUCUAGGCAGUCUGAGCUUCUAUAGAAUGUCCAAUGUAUACAUAAAAACAUGAAAAAGUAUGUUAUCCAUCACAUGAUUGUAAACCUGUUUUCUGAUAACAAGAAUUGACUGCAUGAGAAAUUCCAAAUGGAAAUUUGAUUUCUUUCCUUUACUGUGAUGCUAAAAACUCUAGUUGCAUUUGCGGUCUUGGAUUAGCUGCAGCAAGUUUUUCUAAUUUAGCAAAGACAGACUAGCAUUUUCAAAAUGUAAAAUAUUUAGUAUUUAUUCCUAUAAAGAUAAAUAGUUUAUUUAUAUACAGUAUUUUUGAAUAAUUUACUUUCCAUACAGCUCAGCUCUCCCAGCUAUCUAGAUAUCCUCUCUAAUCUCUCUCUUUGCCUGCUACUGUUUAAACAAAGAUCAUUUUUAUUAUUUUUCCAACUAAAAGCUCUUUUAAUAGCCACUUACACAGAGCAUACAUCACAAAGUCUAUGGCCCCAUAGAUCACAAAUUAUGAGAUCAUUGGCUGAUGAAUUGUCAAUUGUUUCCACAGGGUUUGUAGGCAACACAGAUUUCCAAAGGAAUGUAGAAAGCCUAUUUUU